rnacentral:rRNA from 1 species
GAUGAACGCUGGCGGCGUGCCUAAUACAUGCCAGUCGAGCGAACAGACGAGGAGCUUGCUCCUCUGACGUUAGCGGCGGACGGGUGAGUAACACGUGGAUAACCUACCUAUAAGACUGGGAUAACUUCGGGAAACCGGAGCUAAUACCGGAUAAUAUAUUGAACCGCAUGGUUCAAUAGUGAAAGACGGUUUUGCUGUCACUUAUAGAUGGAUCCGCGCCGCAUUAGCUAGUUGGUAAGGUAACGGCUUACCAAGGCGACGAUGCGUAGCCGACCUGAGAGGGUGAUCGGCCACACUGGAACUGAGACACGGUCCAGACUCCUACGGGAGGCAGCAGUAGGGAAUCUUCCGCAAUGGGCGAAAGCUUGACGGAGCAACGCCGCGUGAGUGAUGAAGGUCUUCGGAUCGUAAAACUCUGUUAUUAGGGAAGAACAAAUGUGUAAGUAACUAUGCACGUCUUGACGGUACCUAAUCAGAAAGCCACGGCUAACUACAUG